GACGAACGCUGGCGGCGUGCUUAACACAUGCAAGUCGAACGGUAAGGCCCUUCGGGGUACACGAGUGGCGAACGGGUGAGUAACACGUGGGUGAUCUGCCCUGCACUUCGGGAUAAGCCUGGGAAACUGGGUCUAAUACCGGAUAGGACCACUGCCUGCAUGGGUGGUGGUGGAUAGCUUUUGCGGUGUGGGAUGGGCCCGCGGCCUAUCAGCUUGUUGGUGGCGUGAUGGCCUACCAAGGCGACGACGGGUAGCCGGCCUGAGAGGGUGACCGGCCACACUGGGACGGCGAUCCGGCCCAGACUCCUACGGGAGGCAGCAGUGGGGAAUAUUGCACAAUGGGCGCACGCCUGAUGCAGCGACGCCGCGUGAGGGAUGACGGCCUUCGGGUUGUAAACCUCUUUCAGCACCGACGAAGCGCAAGUGACGGUAGGUGCAGAAGAAGGACCGGCCAACUACGUGCCAGCCGCCGCCGUAA
rnacentral:rRNA from 1 species